UCGCCUACGGGGGGCAGCAGUGGGGAAUAUUGCACAAUGGAGGAAACCCUGAUGCAGCGACGCCGCGUGAGCGAAGAAGUAUUUCGGUAUGUAAAGCUCUAUCAGCAGGGAAGAAAAUGACGGUACCUGACUAAGAAGCCCCGGCUAACUACGUGCCAGCAGCCGCGGUAAUACGGAGGAUGCGAGCGUUAUCCGGAUUUAUUGGGUUUAAAGGGUGCGCAGGCGGCGAGUUAAGUCAGCGGUAAAAUUUCGGGGCUCAGCCCCGACGAGCCGUUGAAACUGGCUUGCUAGCGUGGGCGAGAAGU
rnacentral:rRNA from 1 species